GUUGAACAAUUCAUAAAAUAUACAACAAGUACAGGUGGCUGUCAAAAUCUUGAUUCAGAUAAUCAAUAUGUUUGAAUAAUUAAAUUAAUGUACGUUUCAUUAUAAUACGAUAUGCUGAUUGUCUAACAGCAAUCUUGCGUCAUUCUGAAAUAAAUCCUUUUUCAAAAUGAAUUGUAACAUUGAUGAUGGCACGAGCUUCUACUAUAAAGUACAAAGGUAAAUAAAAGAAAAACUUGAUAGUAGUCGUGUUUUUAUAAUCAAA
rnacentral:lncRNA from 1 species